rnacentral:misc_RNA from 1 species
CAAAUGCGAUACGCAAUGCGAAUUGCAGAAUUCCGCGAGUCAUCAGAUCUUUGAACGCAAAUGGCGCUCGGUUAAAAAAUACCCGAGCAUGUUUGUUUCAGUGUGUACGGAAUCAUAAAUCAUAAUGCGAUUGAAUUUUUAUUAAAUUCUCUCGUUAAACACGAAAGCGCUGAAUUGUUCAGUGCUCAUCGAAGUAGUCACUUCUUAGCAAGUGAUCUCGAUUGAGCUUAACUGAUAAUUCACUUAAAGCGUCUUUUUUUAAUUAAUUAUUAUUCUCCACUCCACACCUGAAAUCAAGCAAGAUCACCCGCUGAACUUAA